UACAGAGGUCUCAAGCGUUGUUCGGAUUCAUUGGGCGUAAAGGGUGCGUAGGCGGCGCGGUAAGUCGGGUGUGAAAUCUCGGGGGCUUAACUCCGAAACUGCAUUCGAUACUGCCGUGCUUGAGGACUGGAGAGGAGACUGGAAUUUACGGUGUAGCGGUGAAAUGCGUAGAUAUCGUAAGGAAGACCAGUGGCGAAGGCGGGUCUCGUGGACAGUUCCUGACGCUGAGGCACGAAGGUCAGGGGAGCAAACGGG
rnacentral:rRNA from 1 species